GGUCUCACAAAGCAUAAAUAUUGCUGAAUCAGAGGCUAAGACUUCAGCAUUGAAUUGCAUCGUCCAAUAUCUUGUGCAGAGCAAGUUCACUUUCUCAGUGAUUGUCUUUCCAUGGAAUACGUUCUCAAAACGGAUUCAAAGUAAACAAAAUAAUGCAACACCAAAUCACAUUAGCAAAUGAGUAGAGUCCGGUCUAAAUGUCCAAAAACCGAAGAAAAAAAAUUCGGACUUCGGAAUGUCCGAAUUUUUUUCGGACGGACAAUGGUAUUUGUUCGAACUUCAUCCAAUUUUCUUUUGAAUUUUUUUUGGGCUUGAAUAUAUUUUGGCUUUGAAUUUUUUUCGCACGUCCGAACUUAUUUAUUGGUUUUCGGACGGACGGACACCCGGACAUUGAUUUUUGUCCGUGUCCUUUGACACCUCUACAAAUGAGUCGGUUGUGUUGUAGUAAUUUAAGAGAAGUGUCAGCUCUGCGUUUCGUCCCAAAAUCACGCCUCAUGUGAAACCAAUGAAAUUGGAUCCAAUUUCUUUUAAGAUGUUUGUUCACAGUUUUCAAUGGAAACCGAAAUUAUUAUUAUUAUUCUGCGAAAUAUGUUUAACUUUUCUGGACAAUUAUCUUUUGUGUGAUUUUGAGUGAUUUUACGAAAUUCUACUGUUUUCGAAACAGACAGUUUUUUCGCUUCGAGAAGUCAAUCCUUAAUAAUACAAUGAUAAUUACGAUGAAUUUAAUGCCCAAUAAAACAGAGUGGAACUUUGUGACUCAUACAAAUGUUGGUGUUCAUCUUUAUUACUAAAUUACAAGAGUGCAAAAAUAUUUUUUUGACGUCAUUGAUAAAACAUUUAUUCUACUGGGCAUACGACCAUGUCCGUGCAAGAUCAGGCUUCUAAAAUGAUUAACAACAGCAGUCCACACCAUGAAAACAUUUUUUCGGUGCACCGAUCGGUUACGAUUGUUACACCUCAACGAUCCAAUUCAUUGGAUUAUCUGAACUUUGAAGAAAAACGUCAACUAAUUGCUUCAACGUUAUCACUCUCAGAAAUAUUGCAGUGUGGUCCGGCAGCAGCAGCCGCACAUGCAGCUAAAGAAAUAGCUGAAAGUACUGUUAUUGGUAA